rnacentral:lncRNA from 1 species
AGUGAUGUAUACUUGCACCCCAUUUACUCCUUUUCAAUAUUUCAGGAUACAUCUUUGUCCUGUAUUUCUGUACCAGUUCACAGAAUUUCUACAGCAAGAUCCCUUUAAAUGUAUGGCUUUCCUUCAUAGGUUGCAAGGAUUACUUUAUACAAGUGCUACUGUAACUAUAUCUUUUGUGGAGUACAAUUGGUAUGACAUGCUGUGUUCAUAGAUGAAAAUGCUAAGUGAGGCACUCUGAAGCAAGUUAAAGUUCACAGACAUUCUUGCUUGCCCACCACCCCCCCGAACCCCGCCAUGGAAUCAUCAAAUAAGAAAAAUAAGACAGAUUUUCAGAUUGGUGAUGGCAAAGUAAGACGCUGGUAUUUUGCACUGGCGCAGUCCAUUUAGUUGUUGAAUUUGUUCAGCAUACCUGGAUGGUGAGUGAGUUAGCUUUAUUUUUCAUUCUCAGCAGGGAAACUGAUAGACUAGGCAGUUUGGGGAAUUUUCCCAUUGUCUACUGUCAUGGGUCCAUAGUAUUUAAGUUUACAGACUACAACAUUGUCCACAGAAGCCAUAUUUAUCCCCUUGGAGGGAAGGGAAAGGUGUGCUAACUUAGAUCAUAAAAACAACUGAAUUUUAAAACAAGGCAAAUGCCACAGUUCAACUUCUCCAUAAAAAAGUUAAGUUCAUCUCUCCAUUCUUUUGCAUGCCUACAAUAUUUCCAUAUAACAACUGUAAAAUACUCUUGCCUGCUGCAAUCCAAAUGUUAUCCGGAUCACAGUUCUUGCUGUCAUUUCACAGGCAUGCAAUGUAUCUAUAGAUAGGUCAUAUCAUACCUGAGGAAGAUCAGAGACAGCAAGGGAACAUUUUCCCCACACUUGAGAUGGAAAUAAUAACAGGUCAGUGGCUAAUAAAAAGAAACAUGUAUGACUUUGUAAAACCCUAAAAGUGAUGUUUUCAAGAAAUUUAGGUUUCUUUUUUUUAUUUUAUAAAAAAAAUGUUGACAUGCAAUUUAAUUCUAUUUCAAUUUAGGUGCUGCAACCUGUACUGGAUGUUUGGGGAUAGAAAGAUGAAUGGGACAUGAUUUGUGUGCUCCAAUGAGCUCAGUCCAGUGUAAGUGUAAAAGUUAAAGUGCCAUAUUGUUUAUUCAGAGUAUAUGUUAUAGUUUGUGAACCUUAUAUCAUUUGUUAAAUGAAAGGUUUUUAUAAAUCAACAGUAAUAUUGCCAUCCCAUGUAAAAAUCCUUUGAUAUUGCCAGGAAACAACUUUAAAUCACCAGAAAGCUUUAACAUCAAAUAAUACUUUUAGAAGGAGGGGAAAAGCCUUCCACCUCGACAUCGAGCCUAUGAAGUAUUCCCUAAAAAAGAGGAACUAAUCUGAGAAAAGUUUACACAUUUUUAAUACUCUAAGUUGUAGAUAAUGAAAUUGAUUUAAAUCAAAGUUAACUAGAAUAGGAUUCAUGUGUCAUGAAUUAUAUUGUCUAUUGUCUCAUAAGCAACAAGUGACACUUAUUAUCUUGGCUGACAAAAUCAGCUACCAUUUAAUGAACCAAGUUAAGAAUAACUCAGGUGACUGAUACCAAAAAUAAAUCUCUAAUACAGCUGAGAAUCCAGAAACACAAAUAAUAUGUUGAGUAAGUAAUAAAAGUGACAUUUCAAAUUAGUAAGGAAAAAAUGGAUUAUUCAACAAAUAGUAUGGGAUAGCAUAACAAUUUAGAAGAAAUAUAAAGUUAGAUCUUUCACAAAAAUUAAUUCUAGCUAGACUAGCAGUUAGUCUUCUACUUUUUGGUUACUCCCUUUUAGAAAUUGGAAGCUAUGAAGCUAUAUACCCUGUCCAUUUGAAAAUGCACAUAAGCAAAGAACUUUACAAAUAGGUUAUAAAGAGAAGCUCAAUCUCAGCAAAAUAAGGGAAGUGCACAUUAAAACACAAGAAACCAUCUCAGAUCCAACUAAUAUUUAGCGUGCAUACAAAUCAAAAGCUGGAAAGGGUGUGGAAAAACAGGAAUACAUUGCUAGUGAGCAUACAAAUUGGCACAGCCUCUUUUAAAGACAAUUGUGUAUCACCCAUUAAAUUUUAAAAGUCACAUACCCUGUGACCUAACAAUUCCAACUUUUAAUGUCCUAAAGAAACAUACAUGUGUUCACAAGAUAGCCUGUACAAUGAUGUCAAUUGCACCUUUGCUUGUACAGUAGACCCCCUUAUCUGCAUUUUCACUUUUUGAGGUUUCAGUCAUCCAAGGUCAACCACAAUACAAAAAUAUUAAAUGGAAAAUUCCAGAAACGAACAUAAGUUUUAAACUUCAAACCUUUCUGCAUAGUAUAAUAAAAAUCUCUCACUAUCCCUCUCCAUCCUGCCUGGGACAGGAAUCAUCCCUUUGUCCAGUGUAUCCACAAUGUAUACACUCAUUAUAUACCCAUUUUAUAAUGCCCAUUAGUCAUUUCUAUUAUCAGAUCAUAAAAAAACAUAGUACAUAGAGGGUUUGGUAUUAUUCAUGGUUUCAGGCAUUCAGUGAGGGUCUUGGAAAAUAUCCUCCAUGAUGGGGGAGCUACUGUAAUACUAUGAAAUUGGAAAAACCAAAAUACUCAUCAAGAGGAUGGACUAUGGUACACAUGAUGAAGUAUUAAGUAUCAAUGAAAAAGAGAGAGUCCUACAUGUCCGGCAUGGAAGGAUCUCCAGGAGACAAUGUUAAAAGUUUGGGGGAAAAAUUGAAAGACAAUACCUGUAAUACAUAUGAUACUAGUGAUGUUAAAUCACAUCACACACACACACACACACACACACACACACACACAAAUACUGUAUAGUGUACUUCUACAAGUACAUAUUUGUGUAUUAUAUAGAGAGAAGGUCUGGAAGGAUACUAACCAAACUGUCAACAGUAGUUUGGUAGCGUGCAUUAGCUUUAACUGUAAUGUUUGAUGUUUUUGAAUAUGCAUUUAUGUAUUGUUUGUGUAAUGACAAAUUAAUAAAUUAGAAAUAAAAUAAAAUAAUGUGUU